AGCUAGUUGGUGAGGUAACGGCCCACCAAGGCGACGAUCGGUAGCCGGACUGAGAGGUUGAACGGCCACAUUGGGACUGAGACACGGCCCAGACUCCUACGGGAGGCAGCAGUGGGGAAUAUUGCACAAUGGGGGAAACCCUGAUGCAGCGACGCCGCGUGGAGGAAGAAGGUCUUCGGAUUGUAAACUCCUGUUGUUGAGGAAGAUAAUGACGGUACUCAACAAGGAAGUGACGGCUAACUACGUGCCAGCAGCCGCGGUAAAACGUAGGUCACAAGCGUUGUCCGGAAUUACUGGGUGUAAAGGGAGCGCUGGCGGGCGAUCAAGUUGGAAGUGAAAUCCAUGGGCUCAACCCAUGAACUGCUUUCAAAACUGGUCGUCUUGAGUAGUGCAGAGGUAGGCGGAAUUCCCGGUGUAGCGGUGGAAUGCGUAGAUAUCGGGAGGAACACCAGUGGCGAAGGCGGCCUACUGGGCACCAACUGACGCUGAGGCUCGAAAGUGUGGGUAGCAAACAGGAUUAGAUACCCUGGUAGUCCACACCGUAAACGAUGAUUACUAGGUGUUGGGAGAUUGACCCUCUCAGUGCCGCAGUUAACACAAUAAGUAAUCCACCUGGGGAGUACGACCGCAAGGUUGAAACUCAAAGGAAUUGACGGGGGCCCGCACAAGCAGUGGAGUAUGUGGUUUAAUUCGACGCAACGCGAAGAACCUUACCAAGUCUUGGCAUCCCUUGACGAUGCUGGAAACAGUAUUUCUCUUCGGAGCAAGGAGACAGGUGGUGCAUGGUUGUCGUCAGCUCGUGUCGUGAGAUGUUGGGUUAAGUCCCGCAACGAGCGCAACCCUUAUGGUCAGUUACUACGCAAGAGGACUCUGGCCAGACUGCCGUUGACAAAACGGAGGAAGGUGGGGAUGACGUCAAAUCAUCAUGCCCUUUAUGACUUGGGCUACACACGUACUACAAUGGCGUUAAACAAAGAGAAGCAAGACCGCGAGGUGGAGCAAAACUCAGAAACAACGUCCCAGUUCGGACUGCAGGCUGCAACUCGCCUGCACGAAGUCGGAAUUGCUAGUAAUCGUGGAUCAGCAUGCCACGGUGAAUACGUUCCCGGGCCUUGUACACACCGCCCGUCACACCAUGAGAGCCGGGGGGACCCGAAGUCGGUAGUCUAACCGCAAGGAGGACGCCGCCGAAGGUAAAACUGGUGAUUGGGGUGAAGUCGUAACAAGGUAGCCGUAGGAGAACCUGCGGCUG
rnacentral:rRNA from 1 species